UUACGGAACUUUUGUAUAGCCAACAAGUUAAAGUUACUGAGCUGGUAGCCGAUUAUCGAAUGAAAUCUUCCUCCAUGGAUUAUUUGUAGCAUUAAUGUUUCUAUAAAUAUCGUCUGACAAAUCAAAAAGGGCAGGAUCACCGGCGACCGCACAUAUCAGCCUCUAUUUAUAGAUGCAUCGUAAAUCAAAAAAUUCUGCGUAGCGAUAUGUAAAGGGCUUGUAACAAAACGAUGCAUUCACAACACACUUGGCGGAUCUGGUCUGGCCAAGGCGUAACUGUUACGGAGAUCAAAAUGUCUGGCAUGGCAGGUGAAGACUGAAGUAGAAUGCCAUUUCAUUUUGAUUUCAGAUCUAUGCACAUUGUUGGCUGGGAUGUGAUUAUUUCUCAUUUGUUUAGUUUCAAGCAGAAGAUACCAGGGCUUUGUAAAGGAAGAUAAAAGGCCUCUGGGAUCUUCACUGAAGGAAGGAGAAAGCAGACUCUGUGACUUGAAUCUGGACUUCUCCCCACUCCCACUUGGUACUUGGGCUUUAACCCCCUGUGUUUCUCUCACUGGUGAGCUCAGCACUCACAUCUUUCGGUGUUUUUUUUUUUGUAGAUGUAGAUGCAUGUGAUCUGCGAAAGAGUGUGAAGCAAAGCAUUAUCAAUUCUACAAACCUUUGUGUUGCUCCUUGUCAAUAUGUCUGCAGGUCAUACGCCUACCCAAAUGAGCUGUUCAGUUCUUUGUCAUCUAAAUGCACCUAUCCUUCAACACAUUCCUACCUUUUUCAGUAAUAUGCUCACAAUCACAUUUCUAGAAAGGGAAUCAAAGGUUUCAAACACCAUAGCCAUUUUUUAGAAAUGUCAUAAAACAAUUUACUUAUCAGAUCAUACAACUAUACUUUAAAAUUAAGAGCUUUAGGUUUUUCAGGAAAUUUCCUCCACAUGUUGUCACAAAAUUGGAACGUUUUGUUUUGAACAGCCUCAGAGGUUUCCUCAAUGGACCCCGUCUUCUAUGGGGUUCUUAGAACAAUGAUUUGGUUCCUUUAAUCAUCUGUUCCAAAAACCUUCAAAUGUUUCAUGCUAGUCCCCCACAGCAUGUAACUGUGGGGGACAACCUUUCAUAGAUUUUGUGUGUUGUCUUAAGUUGUCUACCCCUGGCAGCACAAUUACACCACCUAAAACUCUCAUUGUGCCCAAAUGUAACUCGCAAUUACAGUGUAUUUUGAUUCUAAAGGUUGUUUUAGGAUCUUGGAAGAAUUGCUUGUUAAAUCCUUGAUAGGUAGGCAUGUGUACCUGAAGCCCCAGCUGUUCCUUUGCCCUACAGGGGAACUAUAUUAUGGCCUUUUUAUGGUGUCUGGGCUCCUUUCCAAUCAGUAGUUCCACCGGUCAUGUUUUAUUGUCUAACAGCGUGACUUUGGGAAAGUGUGUGGGUAAACACGCAGCCAGUUCGUUAUCAAAGCCAUGGAAAGAGUGUCACGCCCUACAUGUUAUGCAAAGGUUUUUCUUGGCUGCCUUGUUUGUGUGUGUGCGCGUACGUGCGUGCGUGCGUGUGCGCGCAUGCGCACAGUUCAGUGGUUUCACAGAUGAAGUAGACCACUAUCAAAGAUCUACUUUUGGUGCUGCAGCUACGCUGUGACUCAAAGGUAGAUGACAGAAAAUAAAUGCCACACUUUGACAUUCUCUCUCUUUUUUCUCUCUCUCUCUCUCUCUCUCUCUUUCCACCUCUUUAUCUUAUCCCUCGCACACACGUGUAUGGCCGCACAUUGCGCCAGCGCGCGCACAUGCCCGCGCACGUGUGUGUGUAGGUAGUCGUGCCCCUCCCUGCCGUGGUGUGCCUCCACUCCAGUCACUCCAACGGUCUCAUGUGGCCUUUCCUGCCGACCCGUCCCCGUCGUCACCACUCUGAGGGAUUGAUUCACAUGGAAUAAUUCUAUUAGAGACUGGAUUAGGCCUGGGACCCGGGAAUCCCCGUGAAUCCCCACGGCGCUAAGCCUCAUUUACUGGCCCUGCUAUUGGCCGGCACCGUAACCCUCCCCCUCUUGACAAUAUCACCGUGGCGACGGCAGCCGGGGAACUGGAGCCUGACUCAGUCGAGGGAGAGCAGUGGGGAGGGCGGGGCCUUCUGUCUAAGUAGUCACCCCUGGUCAGCUAUUUGCUUAAUAAGCUGUUACACCGAUCUGUAAACACCACUCGGCUGGCUCGUUAUGUGUGCGUUUGGGAUCCAGAUCUGUGUGUUGUGUACAUGUGGGGACCAGAUGUCCCCGCAAUGCUGAGUCCCCGUAAAGGUUAUUUGUC
ensembl:lncRNA